GUGCCAGCAGCCGCGGUAAGACAGAGGGUGCAAACGUUGUUCGGAAUUACUGGGCGUAAAGCGCGUGUAGGCGGCUAUGCAAGUCGGGCGUGAAAGCCCUCGGCUCAACCGAGGAAGUGCACUCGAAACUGCGUAGCUAGAGUCCCGGAGAGGAAGGUGGAAUACUUGGUGUAGAGGUGAAAUUCGUAGAUAUCAAGUGGAACACCGGUGGCGAAGGCGGCCUUCUGGACGGUGACUGACGCUGAGACGCGAAAGCGUGGGGAGCAAACAGGAUUAGAAACCCUCGUAGUCC
rnacentral:rRNA from 1 species